rnacentral:lncRNA from 1 species
CAAAUGAUUUUCAGAUGUAAUAAAACCAAAUGUCAUUUGAAAAAAGGGGUCAAUGAACUUGUUUUCAAGUUAGAUAAGUGCGAAUGAUAAAAAUCAGUCGAAAAAUGCAUCUUUUCCCAAUAUGUCACCGUUUGAUGUUGCGAAAAUAACAUUUUACAUUAGCAACAUCAUUAUCUCCCCUGUAACUGUAUCAUAUGCACUUAAAUACAGAUGACAUACAUGUAACAACGCUUGGCUUAAAAGUUUUGCAAGCAAUUUUCUUAACUCAGUCG